rnacentral:rRNA from 1 species
GAUUAAGGGAGUGGCGCACGGGUGAGGAACGCGUGGAUAAUCUGCCUUAGAGUGGGGGAUAACUAGUCGAAAGAUUAGCUAAUACCGCAUAAGACCACAGGAGCUGCGGCUCUAGGGGUCAAAGGUUUUUCGCUCUAAGAUGAGUCCGCGUAAGAUUAGCUAGUUGGUGAGGUAACGGCUCACCAAGGCGACGAUCUUUAACUGGUCUGAGAGGAUGAUCAGUCACACUGGAACUGAGACACGGUCCAGACUCCUACGGGAGGCAGCAGUAGGGAAUAUUGCACAAUGGAGGAAACUCUGAUGCAGCGACGCCGCGUGAGUGAUGAAGGCCUUCGGGUCGUAAAGCUCUGUCGCAGGGGAAUAACACAAUGAAUGUACCCUGUAAGAAAGGAUCGGCUAACUUCGUGCCAGCAGCCGCGGUAAGACGAGGGAUCCUAGCGUUGUUCGGAAUUAUUGGGCGUAAAGCGGAUGUAGGUGGCUUUGUAAGUCAGAUGUGAAAGCCCAGGGCUCAACCCUGGAAGUGCAUUUGAUACUGCGAAGCUUGAGUGUCGGAGAGGUUACUAGAAUUGUUGGUGUAGUGGUGAAAUACGUAGAUAUCAACAGGAAUACCGGAGGCGAAGGCGGGUAACUGGCCGAACACUGACACUGAGAUCCGAAAGCGUGGGGAUCAAACAGGAUUAGAUACCCUGGUAGUCCACGCCGUAAACGAUGGAUACUUGUUGUUGGAGGUAUUGACCUCGGUGCUGU